GUUUGGAAAUCCCCCCUCAGAAGGACCGUGAAACACUCGUGUCUCACUGCUGCUGUGGAGCUGCACACGCAUGCGCACCGCCUGCCUGUCAGCGUGUACUUUCACUUUACGCAGAUAUCAAGCUGUCUGUCACUCGUAGCGGAUUUCCACCCAAAACUGCAACAAAAAACAGGACCCAAACUUCAACUUUAAGCCAUGUUUGGCGUACUCAUAGGGUGAAGGUGUACUUUCGCCGGUUCGGUCUUCUUAUUCAACACUAAAACAGAAAACGAACCGUAAACAACACGGUUAGCUAACUCUGCAGCAACAAUGUUCUGACACCCAAAGUGAGCUAACUGUUAUCUGAAGACUCUGAGCUGCUGCACAGCAGAGGUCCUUUGCACUGUGCCUGGUGGCUGCAGCAGACCUCAGGCUAUGGAGCGGACUGCACUGAAACAGAACCAGCUGUGUGGCUCAUGGGAGAUGAAGGGGGAACUUGGGACAGGGGGCUUUGGGCACGUCUACCUGUACCAGCACCUUGAGUUGGGGUCGAAGAUUGCUGUGAAACUUUGCCGCCUGGAGCUAAACUCCAAGAACAAAGACCGCUGGAGCAGAGAGAUUCAGAUAAUGAAGAAACUGAACCAUGUGAACGUAGUUCAGGCCAGGGAAGUACCAGAAGAACUGAGCUCCAUUGCUUUAAAUGACCUACCACUGCUGGCCAUGGAAUACUGUUCAAGAGGAGAUCUACGCAAGCUGCUGAAUAAACCAGAAAAUUGUUGUGGACUAAAGGAGAGUGAGGUCCUUUCGCUGCUCAGUGACAUUGGUUCUGGUAUCCAAUAUCUCCAUGAAAAUAAGAUCAUUCACAGAGACUUAAAGCCCGAGAACAUAGUUUUACAAGAGGUUGAUGGGAAGCUUGCCCAUAAAAUCAUAGAUCUGGGUUAUGCAAAAGACCUGGAGCAGGGCAGUCUCUGUACAUCCUUUGUUGGAACUCUACAGUAUCUGGCUCCAGAGCUGUUUGAGAGUAAACCCUACACUGUAACUGUGGACUACUGGAGCUUUGGGACAGUAAUCUUUGAAUGCACUUGUGGCUUUCGCCCCUUUCUGCACCACAUGCAGCCUGUACAAUGGACAAGCAAAGUCAAGAACAAAGGUCCCAAAGAUAUCAUGGCCGUAGAGGACAUGAAUGGAGAAGUCAGGUUCUCCUCACAUCUUCCAUAUCCCAACAACCUCAGCAGGCCUGUGCUAGAACCAGUCGAGUCUCUUCUGCAGAUGUUGCUACUGUGGGACCCUGCGACGCGAGGUGGAGGUCUGGAUCCCGACACAAACAAGCCACAUUGCUACACGACUCUGCAGAAUGUUCUCAACAUGAAGGUCAUCCAUGUGUUGGACAUGACGUCAGCACAGCUGCACUCGGUGGUUUUGGGUGCUGAGGAGAGCUUGCACUCCCUGCAGCUUCGCCUGGAGACGCACACUCAGACACACAUCUCCCCGCUGAGUCAAGAGCUGCUGCAGGAGACGGGAAUCUCCCUCGACCCACGCAGACCACCUGCACACUGUCUGCCAGAUGGAUUGCGUGGCUGGGACACCUCCAUAGUCUUCCUGUUUGAUAAGAGCCUGACCAAGUACUCUGGACCACUGACUGCCAGACCUCUGCCAGACAGUGUCAACUUUAUAGUCAGGGAGACGAAGACACAGCUGCCCCUGUCUGCUCUUAGGAAGGUGUGGGCCGAAGCAGUCAGCUACAUCUGUGGACUGAAAGAGGACUACAUUCGACUGUACCAGGGCCAGAGAGCUGCCAUGCUCAGUCUGCUGCGCUACAACACCAACUUAACUCGAUACAAGAACCUGCUGUUCUCCCAGUCGCAGCAGCUCCGAGCCAAACUGGUGUUCUUUAAGACCAGCAUCCAGCAUGACCUUGAGCAAUACACCAAGCAGAGGAACACCGGCAUCUCCUCAGAAAAAAUGCUGAAGUCAUGGCAGGACAAUGAAGAGAAGGCUGACGAGUUUACGAAGGUUGCAGAUGUGGGAUAUCUGGAUGAGGAGAUUGUGGCUCUGCAUUCUGAGAUUGUGGAACUGCAGAGGAGUCCGUUUGCGAGGAGACAGGGGGACAUCAUGGAACAGCUUGAAAAAAAGGCAAUUGAACUCUACAAGCAACUGAAAGCUAAGUGCAAAAGUCCUGACCCUCCACAUGGCUACAGCGACAGCUCAGAAAUGGUGAAGACCAUACUGCAGACAGUCCAGAACCAGGACAGAGUACUGAAAGACUUGUACACUCACCUGAGUACAAUUCUGGUGUGUAAGCAGCGCAUUGUGGAUUUGUUCCCAAAGUUGGAAAGGGCGGUAGAGAACAUUAAAACUGCAGAAGCAGCAGUGAUGCAGAUGCAAAUGAAGAGACAGAAGGAGUUCUGGUACCUCCUCAGGAUUGUCUGUGCUCAGAGCAGUUCUCCAAGUCAGUCACUUAUACAACAACCUGCUGACAGUGAAACGGUUCAUCAGUUACUGGAUGAAAACCAGCGUUAUCUAGGUCAGCUCACUUCCCUGUUGCAAGAUGCCACCCAGGAGAUGGAGCACAGUGUCAUGAUUCUCCAAAACAGCCACCCUUUGCUUUGAUGACAGCUUUGCACAUUCUUGGUAUUCUCUCAAUGAGCUUCAUGAGGUAGUCACCUGAAAUGGUUUUCACUUCACAGCUGUGCCUUGUCAAGGUUAAUUUGUGGAAUUUCUUGCCUUCUUAAUGGGGUUGGGACCAUCAGUUGUGCUGUGCAGAAGUCAGGUUGGUACACAAUUGACAGCCCUAUUUGAGAACCGUUAGAAUCCAUAUUAUGGCAAGAACCAAUCAGCUAAGUAAAGAGAAACGACUGUCUCUCAUUACUGAAGGUCUGUCAGUCGGGAAAAUAGCAAAAACUUUGAAUGUAUCCCCAAGUGCAGUCGCAAAAUCCAUCAAGUGCUAUGACGAAACUGGUUCGCAUGAGGACCUUCCCAGGAAAGGAAAACAAAGAGUCACUUCUGCUGCUGAAGAUAAGUUCAUCCAAGUCACCAGCCUCAGAAAUCACAAGUUAACAGCAGCUCAGAUUAGAGCCCAGAUAAAUGCCACACAGAGUUCUAGUAGCAGACACAUCUCUAUAUCAGCUGUUCAGAGGAGACUUACCAAUCAGGCCUUUAUGAUCAAAUAGCUGCUAAGAAACAACUACUAAGGAAAAGCGACAAGCAGAAGAGAUUUGUUUGGGCCAAAAAACACAAGGAAUGGACAUUAGACCAGUGGAAAUCUGUACUUUGGUCUGAUGAGUCCAAAUUUGAGAUCUUUGGUUCUACCAGCCGUGUCUUUGUGCGAUGCAGAAAAGAUGAACGGAUGUUCAUGUAUGCAUGGUUCCCACCGUGAAGCAUGGAGGAGGAGGUGUGAUGGUGUGGAGGUGCUUAGCUGGUGACACUGUUUAGGAUUUAUUCAAAACUGAAGGCACACUGAACCAGCAUGGCUACCACAGCAUCCUGCAGCGACAUGCCAUCCCAUCCGGUUUGCGUUUAGUUGGACUAUCAUUUAUUUUUCAACAGGACAAUGACCCCAAACACACCUCCAGGCUGUGUAAGGGCUAGCUGACAGCUGACCUGGCCUCCACAAUCACCUGACCUAAACCCAAUCGAGAUAGUUUGGGAUGAGAUGAACUGCAGAGUGGAGGCAAAAGGGGCCAACAAGUGUUUAGCAUCUCUGAGAACUCCUCCAAGACUGUUCAGGAUGAGGACUGGAGCUGGACUCGGUACGGCUCAGAGAAAGUGGAAGCUCAGAAAAUGUAGCAACUGGCCAAAGAUUUUUUACUGUAAAAAGUGCCUUAUUAGAGUUACACUAUCUGAAAACGUUGUGAUUCCAUACUGUGUCAUUUUGAUGUAUGUAGUGCUGCAAUAUAGUGAAACAGCAUGAUUUGGUAAGCUAUACAUGUUUUAACUUAAAAAUAUACGAUUGAAUCCAAGUGUAGCUAUGAUGUAUUUAUUUAAUUGAUGAUAUUGAUUGGAGUAAAACUUUGCUGCUAACCAACUAUGCAUGAUGGAAUGUGAAUACAUUUUUAUAAAUGUAAGGCAAAUAGACUGUUUUUUCUUUGUUCAAGCAAGUUCUUGCGAUAAAUUUGUUUCUUCUUUGCAAAUAUCACUGUUUAAGAAUCUG